rnacentral:rRNA from 1 species
CGGAGUAACGCGUGGGUAACCUGCCUCAUACAGGGGGAUAACAGUUAGAAAUGACUGCUAAUACCGCAUAAGCGCACAGUGCUGCAUGGCACAGUGUGAAAAACUCCGGUGGUAUGAGAUGGACCCGCGUCUGAUUAGCUAGUUGGUGGGGUAACGGCCUACCAAGGCGACGAUCAGUAGCCGGCCUGAGAGGGUGAACGGCCACAUUGGGACUGAGACACGGCCCAA